rnacentral:rRNA from 1 species
UACGAAGGGGGGCUAGCGUUGCUCGGAAUGACUGGGCGUAAAGGGCGCGUAGGCGGAUGGCACAGUCAGAUGUGAAAUUCCCGGGCUUAACCUGGGGGCUGCAUUUGAUACGUGUGAUCUAGAGUGAGGAAGAGGGUCGUGGAAUUCCCAGUGUAGAGGUGAAAUUCGUAGAUAUUGGGAAGAACACCGGUGGCGAAGGCGGCUCACUGGCUCGUUUCUGACGCUCAGGCGCGAUAGCGUGGGGAUCAAACAGG